GAAGCGCAGUGCGAGGGACGAGAAGAGUAGAAUCUGCACGAGCUGGGAACCAACCUGGUCCCUAAUUCCCAGCCCCGGUCUUAGUCCAUCCCGACCUGGAGGCUGCUUCGCGAGCGCGGGACGCAGCCGACGCCCGCUCAUCCGCUUUCGCUGCGCCGCCCUGGCUCGGGAGCCGCUUGGCGGCGGCGACGGUGACGAAGAGCCCACGGGCAAGCUCAGCUCUGUUGUACUUUGAGAGAGAGAAAGUCAAAUGCCCGUUUUUCACUCCGUCUUCACAACUCGGCUCCCGGGGGACUGAGUUGAGAGAGUUGGAGGCAACCUUGCUCAAGAUGAAGAAUAUACAGUUUUAGAUGAGGAGAUUUUUUUUCUUUUUCCUUUAAAAGUCUUGAUUGGUGACUUACCUCUAGUUACCACUUUUCACUUGAGUCUGUUUGCUUCAUCAGAAAUGAU